UGAGCAACCUGCCCCUGACUCUGGAAUAAGCGCUGGAAACGGCGUCUAAUACUGGAUACGAGAAGGGUCCGCAUGGGCACUUUCUGGAAAGUUUUUCGGUUGGGGAUGGGCUCGCGGCCUAUCAGCUUGUUGGUGAGGUAAUGGCUCACCAAGGCGACGACGGGUAGCCGGCCUGAGAGGGCGACCGGCCACACUGGGACUGAGACACGGCCCAGACUCCUACGGGAGGCAGCAGUGGGGAAUAUUGCACAAUGGGCGAAAGCCUGAUGCAGCGACGCCGCGUGAGGGAUGACGGCCUUCGGGUUGUAAACCUCUUUCAGCAGGGAAGAAGCGAAAGUGACGGUACCUGCAGAAGAAGCACCGGCUAACUACGUGCCAGCAGCCGCGGUAAUACGUAGGGUGCGAGCGUUGUCCGGAAUUAUUGGGCGUAAAGAGCUUGUAGGCGGUUUGUCGCGUCUGCUGUGAAAAUCCGGGGCUCAACCCCGGACUUGCAGUGGGUACGGGCAGACUAGAGUGUGGUAGGGGAGACUGGAAUUCCUGGUGUAGCGGUGAAAUGCGCAGAUAUCAGGAGGAACACCGAUGGCGAA
rnacentral:rRNA from 1 species